rnacentral:lncRNA from 1 species
GGCAGUUAGGCUGCAGUGAAUUCUACAAAGAGGCUAUGGGAAAGAAACCUGGAAAGUACCCUUGGCUGUGUACAUUUGAGUAAAGAGAGCACUAUAAAAUCAAAAACCAAUGAAAUGGUUUCCAGAACACAGAACUAUUAAGCUUAAGAAAAGGACAGAAGGAACUGAAGAGAGAGGAACUGUUUUGGAGCAUCACACUUCCACCUCAGAAGAAAUAAGGAAGGAAGGAGGAGGGUGUUCCCACGGCUCUUCAACCAGGCCGGCUCUUCAGCCUACAUCCCCAUCUCAUCAAGUAAAAGGGAUUUUUCAACUGGACCAACCAGAUGGUUUAACAGUGCACUCCCACACCAUUCAACUACGCAAGGGAGAUACACUUAACAUAUGCAGUCGUAUAACACCUACUAACAUUUUCAAACAUUAAACCUUUAAAAAAGAGUUCUAAAGAAAUAGAAGCUUGAAGUAUCAUCUCUCAAGUAUAUAGACACUACUUCAUGGUGUGGUAAUAUAUGCAUAUAGAAGCUAGUAAACACCUCCAGGAGAUGCAAAAGGAAUUAGAACUGCCACAAGGUGCAAGCAAAACCUUGAGGUAAUCAAUCUGCAUCCCAUUUUGGAUGAGAAUAUUUGCAACUUUGAAGGUUAUUUUAAGGACAGCAGCAGAAGAAUUAUGGCAGGUAUCUGAAAUUCAUUUCUGUGCUUUGCCGAGGACCCAUGGGAUGCCAUUUGCAGAUGAGAAAACUAAAGAAUAGCUUUAUCUUCCAGCUCUUCACGGAAAAAAAAAUGGCAACAAUAAAAUCAGCAACUCCUGCCAAAUAAAUGGGCAUAAAAAAGAAAUCAUAGACUGCUGGCAAUGGUGGGGAAAAAGUUAUAAAAAUUGUCUCUGCACCAUCUUCCUUUUGUCCUCUAAAAUAUUCACAUUAGCAAAAGUAUAUAACAGCUGAUGAAGAAAUACUGAUAAUUUGUCUUUCUUCUUUAAAAUAUGAAGACUUCGAAGUUAUUUAUCCAAACCAACCUGAUCAUUUCUUAAGAGUGAAUAUACCUUGGAAGACGUGUCCUGCCUUUAGUAGCGUCACAAUGGAUUACAUCCUCUAUAAAGCAGUCUGGGAGGCUAACAUCUGCCACAAGACAAAUAUGGUGCCUGCCCCCAUGGAGCUCAUAUUCGAAUGGAGAAAAUGUCAACAAGUAUCCCACGGAGUGAACACUUCAAAAGGAGAAGCACAGGUGAGAAAAUCGAAUUUGGACACCGUUGAGGAGACUAUUGCAGUCAUCCAAGCUCAAGAUGGUGGAGCUUCAUCCUUGAGAAUAACCAAUGGGGAUAGAUUUAAGAGACACUUAGAGUCUGCAGCCAACAGGGCUGAAUGAGCAGAGAGUUAUGAUUCAGAAGAUCAUCUAAAAUUGAACAGCUGCCACUACUGGCAAUAAGUCUACUGCCAUUUGGUAGAUAACCUUCUUAUCACACAGAAAAAUAUCAGUACAGACAAAUAGACCGCAAAGAAAAUGAGACCAUCAGCAAAGAAGAUAAAGAAGUUUGUACAAAGCAACUUUUUAUAAAUGGAUGGCUGUCAGGCAAAAAUAAAUUUCCUGUGGACAAGACCAAGAGCAAGGCAAGAGGAAAAUAAACAUGUUUAAACU